rnacentral:rRNA from 1 species
CGUACGGGUGUUGGGAGACAUAGCCCGGAGAUGGAUUCUGAGACACGAAUCCAGACCCUACGGGGUGCAGCAGGCGCGAAAACUUGGCAAUGCGAGAAAUCGUGACCAGGGAACUCCAAGUGGCUGGGGUAAGACCCAGUCUUUUCUUGACUCUUCAAAGGUCUUGGAAUAAGGGGUGGGUAAGGACGGUGCCAGCCGCCGCGGUAAUACCGGCGCCUCAAGUGGUAGUCGAUUUUAUUGGGCCUAAAACGUCCGUCGCCUGUUUGGUACAUUCGUGGGUAAAUCAACCAGCUCAACUGGUUGAAUUCUGCGAGCACGGCCAGACUUGGGACCGGGAGAGGUGUGGGGUACGUUCAGGGUAGGGGUAAAAUCCUGUCAUCCUAAACGGACCACCUGUUGCGAAGGCUCCACACUAGAACGGAUCCGACGGUCAGGGACGAAGCCUAGGGGCACGAACCGGAUUAGAUACCCGGGUAGUCCUAGGUGUAAACGCUGUGGACUUGGUGUUGGGGACUCUCCGAGAUUCCUCAGUGCCGAAGCGAAGGUGAUAAGUCCACUGCCUGGGGAGUACGGUCGCAAGGCUGAAACUCAAAUGAA